ACAACGUUUGCACAUCAAGAAAGGGGAAAGAUGCAGCUAUACCUAAAUAGACCCCUCACCUCGGGAAAAGCAGCAAAACUCAACAACAAAACAAGUUAUAAUGCUACCUCCUACAAAUACAGAUACCAAAUAACCCCAUGUCAUGGUAGUAACUCAACUAGAGAUUACAGGAGCUUCAUCCCCAUCUUUCUUUCAUAUUUGGUCUGGUGACCAAAUCUACAGCUAUGUCAUUGACCCUUGUAAGGGAAAUUGUUAUUAGUUUCAAUGUUGAUUUAUGGUUUACCCUGUAUGGGGUAAGAAGGGUCCAUUAGUUUCUCUCUAAAACAACUUAGCACUUGCACAAAUUAAUGGGAAUCUUUGUAACUGGAAUAGGGCAUAGUGAUCUCUGAUUUAGUAGUGUACAUACAACUCUGGUGCACUGAGCAAAAGGGAUCAGUUUUCAACCCACUCUCAACCAUAUUAAUUGCAGUUGUAGCAUAUUUCGUCCUGGGUGAAAAGCUCUGCACGGGCAGAAUAUUGGCGUACAUUAUGAUACGCGGAAUUUAGGAGUUCUAAGUCCAGUCACGUUGAGCAGUCUCAAUGUGGGGUCAAGAGACUUGGCAAAAAAAAGGUCCUACAAGGUUGGUCUAAAAGGCGAAUCGCUAAGUCUUCACACCUUAAGUGGCAGUUCUUCUGUUGACUGGGUUCAAGGUUCACUUGUGGCUCAAAAAACAACCCCUGACUUGGUACAAGGCAACAUUUAACUCGCCUGGAGGAUUCAACGAGAAGAAAUAUCAUACUAAUUAUGGAUAACCUUCUCAAAGAUGGUAAGUGAUAUCCAUAAUUCGUACAACACUUAGUGAAGUUAGUACUAGAUCAACUUUCUGUGGAGAAUUUCACACGACAACUCAAUCCAAUGUUCCAUACUCAAGACUUCGCAAAAUUGGUAAUUUUAGGUAUCAUGUCCCGUGAUCGAGGCUGAAACCAAGUGGAAACCUGUUGGUAGUAUUUGAAGAAUGGUGUGGUAAUCAAAUAGGAAUUUCUUUAGUAAGAAUAUCAAGAUAAAAAGUUUGAUUCUGGAUGUGACAGUGUCUUGUGGUGUGGCUGUUAGGUAGUGGUGGAGCCUUUUUAUGCUAAGGGGUGUCAAUUGACACUCGUUCCUUGGAUACAUUGUUUAGUUAGUUUAAGUUUUUAGUUUUCAAGUAUGACAUACUUUUUGUGUAGAGAAGAGAAGUACCAUGAACCAGAAUACUGGAAAUUUGAUGAGGAGGGAAAUCAGUAUUUUAGGUAUGCAACUGGACAAAUAUAUGCGAUCUCUAAGGAUUUGACUACCUACACAUCAAUCAAUGGGUACACCUUUUGCUUUAUAAGUUUUUUCUUAAGCUUUCAGUUUAAUGCAUAUCCAUGUGCUUUACUGGUUACAAUCUACUAUUUAUUCAUAAAGAAUUUCUCGUCAGGCACAUUCUCCAUAGGUAUGCAAAUGAAGAUGUUUCUCUUGGAUCUUAGUUUAUUGGGCUUGAUGUUGAACAUAUUGAUGAAUGAAGUUUGUGUUGUGGAACACCCCAGGUAAGACGCUAAUGCCUAUGACAUACUUGGAAAAAUAGGAGGUUUGAAGGUAGGGAGCGGAAGUAGGUCACCACAGUACAAGGAAGCUGGCCUCUCCACUAGAUGGGUCUCUCUGCUCUACAUUGCCUACUUUUUCUUAGGUGUUUUUGUUGUCAACAGGGCAACCCCAGGUGGAGUCUUAGAUCAUGCUAUAGAUGCUGAGGAUGCACAACAUAAUAAUUUUUUUCGACUGAUGUUCAAAAUGAAGGAGGAGAUGAAGAAAGUGACGAAGAAAUUGACCUUACUUGAGAAAAUUUACAAAUUAUUGAAUUUUGUGAAACUUAUCGCCACUCAAACUUGAUACUUUAUGGGAAAACUAAUGACCGUUGGACUUUAACAUUUUUCUUUUGGAUUUAGAUUACUAGUUUGUUGGAUAUUUUAAUUUGAAUUAUUAUUAAUCAAAGAUUUUGUUGUGAUGUGCA